GAUGAAGAACGCAGCGAAAUGCGAUACGUAAUGUGAAUUGCAGAAUUCAGUGAAUCAUCGAAUCUUUGAACGCAUAUUGCGCUCUUUGGUAUUCCGAAGAGCAUGCUUGUUUGAGUAUCAGUAAACACCUCAACCUCUUCUUGAUUUUUCAAAAGGAGGGUGGACUUGAGCUAUCCCAACAACCUUUACCGGUCGGCGGGCGGCUUGAAAUGCAGGUGCAGCUGGACUUUUAUCUGAGCUAAAAGCAUAUCUAUUUAGUCCUCGUCAAACAGGAUUAUUACUUUUGCUGCAGCUAACAUAAGGAUAAUUGUCCUCUUUGCUGACUGAUGCAGGAUUUUACGACACUUUAUGUGUUGUUCAACUCGAUCUCAAAUCAAGUAAGACUACCCGCUGAACUUAAGCAUAUCAAUAAGCGGAGGA
rnacentral:misc_RNA from 1 species